GAUGAACGCUGGCGGCGUGCCUAAUACAUGCAAGUAGAACGCUGAAGGAGGAGCUUGCUCUUCUGGAUGAGUUGCGAACGGGUGAGUAACGCGUAUGUAACCUGCCUUGUAGCGUGGGAUAACUAUUGGAAACGAUAGCUAAUACCGCAUGACAACAGUUAUUGCAUGAUAACUGUUUAAAAGUUGCAACUGCUCCACUACCAGAUGGACCUGCGUUGUAUUAGCUAGUUGGUGAGGUAACGGCUCACCAAGGCGAAGAUACAUAUCCGACCUGAUAGGGUGAUCGGCCAAAAUGGGAAUGAGACAAGGCACAGAAUCAUACGGGAGGGAGAAGGAGGGAAAGUUCGGGAAUGGAAGGAAGUCUGAACGAGAAAAGCCGAGGGAGUGAAGAAGGUUUUCGGAUCGUAAAGCUCUGUUGUAAGAGAAGAACGAGUGUGAGAGUGGAAAGUUCACAGUGUGACGGUAUCUUAACAGAAAGGGACGGCUAACUACGUG
rnacentral:rRNA from 1 species